rnacentral:rRNA from 1 species
GAUGAACGCUGGCGGCGUGCUUAACACAUGCAAGUCGAACGGAAAGGCUCCUGCUUGCAGGGGUACUCGAGUGGCGAACGGGUGAGUAACACGUGGGUGAUCUGCCCUGCACUUCGGGAUAAGCCUGGGAAACUGGGUCUAAUGCCGGAUAGGACCACAUUUUGGAUGGUGUGGUGGAAAGUUUUUCGGUGUGGGAUGAGCUCGCGGCCUAUCAGCUUGUUGGUGGGGUAAUGGCCUACCAAGGCGUCGACGGGUAGCCGGCCUGAGAGGGUGUACGGCCACAUUGGGACUGAGAUACGGCCCGGACUCCUACGGGAGGCAGCAGUGGGGAAUAUUGCACAAUGGGCGCAAGCCUGAUGCAGCGACGCCGCGUGGGGGAUGACGGCCUUCGGGUUGUAAACUCCUUUCGCUAGGGACGAAGCGCAAGUGACGGUACCUGGAGAAGAAGCACCGGCUAACUACGUG